rnacentral:SRP_RNA from 1 species
GCCGGGCGCGGUGGCUCAAGCCUGUAAUCCCAGCACUUUGGGAGGCUGAAACAGGAGAAUCGCUUGAACCCAGGAGGCAGAGGUUGCAGUGCGCCGAGGUCAUGCCACUGCACUCCAGCCGGGGGGACAGAGCAAAACCCCGUUAAAAAAAAAAAAAAGAAUGAUCUCUCAAUGUGAACCCUAAAACACAUUCCUCANNNNNNNNNNUGAGGAAUGUGUUUUAGGGUUCACAUUGAGAGAUCAUUCUUUUUUUUUUUUUUAACGGAGUCUUGCUCUGUCCCCCCGGCUGGAGUGCAGUGGCAUGACCUCGGCGCACUGCAACCUCUGCCUCCUGGGUUCAAGCGAUUCUCCUGUUUCAG